GCAGCAGGCAAGAACGAGCACCUUAACCGAAGUGGCAGGAAGGGAGCCAAGAAGAAAGAGGUUGGUCCACUGUCUGAGAGAGACUGGCAUGAGGCGAAAGCACCAGCUGUGCUUGGCAUAAGGAGUAUGGAAAACACCAGGCACAGGGACGUCAGGAACCAAAAUCACACCCGAUGGCCUCAAGGGCCGUGUUUUUGAAGUCAGUACUGCUCAUCUGCAGAAUGGUGAAGUUGCAUCUGGAAAAUUCAAGCUAAUCACUGAGGAUGUUCAGUGCAAAAACAGCCUGACCAGCUUUCAUGGAAAAAAAAAAAGACCAUGAUUGAAGCUCAUAUGGUUGUCAAAACUACAGAUGAUCAUUUGCCUCAUCUGUUCUGUGCUGCUUUUACUAAAACAGUGCAGCAAGCAGAUUGGGAAGACCUCUCACAGGCAGCACUGGCAGGCCCGUCAAAUCCAGAAAAGAUGGUGGAAAUCAUGGCCCAAGAGGUGCAGACAAAUUACUCGAAAGAAGUGGCCCAUGAAUUGAUGCUAGACAGCACUGGGAGAGACACAGAGAAGGUUCCCCAGUCUAUCCAGGUAUCCUCUCCAGGAUGUCUUCCUUAGAAAAGUAAAAAUGCUUGGGAAGCCCAGGCUUGCAUUGGGAAAACUCAAGCUUUGUGGUGAAGGUCGCUGUCCUGGAAAAGCUACUGGGGAUGAGACCAGUGCUAAAUGUGAAUGAGCUGACGGAUAUGAGCCCCCAGCCCAACAACCUGUUUAA
rnacentral:lncRNA from 1 species